UACGAAGGGGGCUAGCGUUGUCCGGAAUCAUUGGGCGUAAAGCGCGCGUAGGCGGCCCGGUAAGUCCGCUGUAAAAGUCAGAGGCUCAACCUUUGAAUGUCAGUGGAUACUGCCGGGCUAGAGUCCGGAAGAGGCGAGUGGAAUUCCUGGUGUAGCGGUGAAAUGCGCAGAUAUCAGGAGGAACACCGGUGGCGAAGGCGGAUCUCUGGGCCAUUACUGACGCUGAGGAGCGAAAGCGUGGGGAGCGAACAGG
rnacentral:rRNA from 1 species